rnacentral:rRNA from 1 species
UACGUAGGGUCCGAGCGUUGUCCGGAAUUACUGGGCGUAAAGAGCUCGUAGGUGGUUUGUCGCGUUGUUCGUGAAAACUCACAGCUCAACUGUGGGCGUGCGGGCGAUACGGGCAGACUAGAGUACUGCAGGGGAGACUGGAAUUCCUGGUGUAGCGGUGGAAUGCGCAGAUAUCAGGAGGAACACCAGUGGCGAAGGCGAGUCCCUGGACAACACCUGACACUGAGGCACGAAAGCUAGGGGAGCAAACAGG